UCAGAUAGUAUAUGCAUUAGGAGUUCUUCUCGAGUGUAGGAUCUCUUGUUUUUUUUUUCUUUAUCUUAUUUUAAAAAAAUAGGUCAGACGGUCAGACAAUAUGACAGAAGACUACUUAUUUCGCAAAACACUUGUAAGUAUUUUGUAUCAUAUAUAUGUAUUUUAUUACAUAAUUCUUACACACUAGUUGUCUAUCUCCCAGCUAGUCUUGUGAACCCUACAAAACCCUCUUCCCCUCUAACCCCACCAUUUCUCUCUUUCUUUCUUAACUCUAUAAAAGCUGCUUGACAUACUACAUAUUGCUAGAGUGGUCCUUCUUCUUCCUUUCUUUAUCUCACUUUUUUUGUUAUCUCUCUCUUAAUUCAUUCCACCUCUUUCAACCUUUCAUUUUCUCUCUAAUCUUCUCCUUCUUCUUUAGCUAGCUAGCGGUGAAAGUAAAAUAAGUCCUGUCAUGCUUUUCCACAGCUUUCUUGAACUUUCCGCUCGUCGUGUUCGUACGUCUCCUCUAACUAAUUACAUUCAUGGUGAUCAUGUUUAUGGUGGAGGAGAUCCACGAGGCGAACCGAAUCCAUAAAAUUCACCAUGGAAAGUUCAAGAAAGUUGUGGGAAAAUAUGGCGUUUUUCAGGACUUUGGCUUCUGUUAAGUGUUAUGCUUUCACAUAGAUCAGAUGGGUCUUUUGUAUAUGAAGAAAAGGAGCAGAGAGAAGAUUCUCAACCUUUUCCUUUUGUCACUCAGAUCAGAGAUGAUGAUGAUAAUGAUAAGUCUCCCCUUAUUGUCUUCUGGGUUUUUAUUUUUCUAUUCAUGUAAGCAUUCCACUUUAAAAAAGAAAAAAAAAAGUUUACCUUUUGUCUAUAUCUUCAUAUAUUUAUUGAAAAAAAUUCUUUACUUUUUAUACUCCCAUCUUCUUUGCUGAUCUUUAAUUUUAACCUUUUCUUUGUCUCUUGUGGGAAAAACAUAGAAUUUUCUGACUUGUGUAUUUUUUUUUUGUCUAAAUAAAAGGUUCGAGGGAUAAAUUUGAUUCAUGAAAGAUCAGAUAUUUUAUAGCUAAAGUAAUAAUUAAGACUAAGAACCUGGACCUCAUGUAAUAAGUUACAUUAUUGAAGUAUUAGCUUGUUUAAAUUAAGGGUUAUGCUAUAUGCAGCCCUUAGGGUUGCAUAAAAGACAUAAAUACACUACUUGAAAUGGAAAUAAGUUGUGAAUUUAUGAAAAAAAAUUGCAUCAACCAAUGUAAUAAAUGAUCAAUUAAUGCAACUUAUUUCCAUUUUUAGCUUCUUAUAUACAUCCCUUAGGGCUGCAUAUAGCUUUUCCCUUAAAUUAAAUGUCCAUUUACAAAAAGCGGGUAGCUAUUUAAAUUUGUGUCAUAUUGGUCUUAGCUAGCUUGUUCAAAUGCUCAUUUAGUUUCAACUUUUCGUUACAUAUUCUACCAACAUACUCUAAUGGUUCCAAAGUAAUUUUUUUACAAAAAGACUGGAUUUUUUAGAAAAAAGAAAAGAAAAGGAAUUUUCUAGUUUCUUCCAAUUAAAUUUUCUACUAUUGAGCUUUGAGAUUUUUGGACAUAUUAGGACGAUGCACAUGCAUUAGCUGAAUAUACUUUUUUUUCCUUGUCAUGACGAAGAAUAAUUGAUGGUGACAUUUAAGAUUAAUCAUCCGUACGUAUUUUCUAGUAAUUCUAGAGACUAAUUUCAUUUACACGUUCUUUAAUUAUUUUUAUUUAUUAUGAAUUUAUAAUGACAAAUUCAUAAUAAUAAUAAUCUUUUCAUAUGUAAUUUAGGGAGAAUAAAUUUCGCCAUCUUAACCUUAAAUUUUUUUAUAGGGUACAACAUUUUGGCAUAUUAGCUAGCCAUUAUUGAGAUCCAUAGAUUUGUAACUUAUGUGCUAUCAGAGUACAAAAUGUUCAUCAUCAUAUACUGCUAUACAUAUGUGUAAAUGGUCCCAAAAUAUUGGGCUUGAAUUUUAUGAUAGGGGGGUGGGCAUAUGAACACAUGACACCCAUGAAUCCCAAUAAUUCCUACUGAUCUACUGCUAGCUAUCAAUUUUGUGCUUCUCUGCCAGAGAAACUGGGACUGUUUGCUCCAGAUAACCAUGAAGGGUAAUUUGGCAAUGACAUAAAAUCAAAAGUAUAAAUAUUUAUGGAGAUAAAAUUAUUAAAAUUUCAAUCUUUUCUUAGCUUUGUAUUUUUGCUCUUUUGUUACUGGCAUUGGAAUCUUUACCUUAUAAAAGGUGAACAAUAUAGACCCCAUGUCCCCAUGAAAUACUUUUCAAAUCAAUUUUAUCAAAAUUAAUUUCUAAUGUUACUAUAUUAGAGAAAUUAAUAUAAUUUUCCUAUAGGCUAUUGAGGGAAGGUGGUCCACCACAAGUAGUUGUAUCAAAGGCCAGACAAUAGGGAAUGGCAGUUUCUGGCAAAUCAUGAAAAGGAAUUAAUUUAUCAUUUGGCUGCACUAUACAAUUAAUAUAUCUGUGCUUUUAAUUGGUUACAUUUUCAGUUUUACUUAUUUGGUGUAAUUUUAUUUCCUUACUAAUUAUCUUACUGUUGUAAAAAAACUACUUCUUUCGUCUAGAUUUGGCCAAAUGGUUGGUUUCGGGUAUUAUGUCCAUUAGAAUUUUCGGGUUUGAAGUGUUAUUUUAACAAAAGGUUUGAAGUGUUUUGUUGCUAACAUUGCGAUUGUUGGACCAUCACUCAAAUUUGUUGGCUUGUCGUCCGGCCUAUAGGUGUAAAUGAUCCGAGUUGAGUUUGAGUUUGGACUAGCUCGACUCGACUCGACUCGUUAGCAUUUUUGAGAUGAACUCUCUCAAGUCGAGUUUUGACCGAGAAAAUCUCGAGUAUCUUGUAAGUGUAUCAGGUUAAAAGCAACCAUAAGGAUAAAUAUGUCAAAUUUAGGUAUUUUGCUAUAGAUAAUUGGUUAUUCGAGCUUCUCACGAGUUUUCCGGUCGAGUAUCGAGUUUCUUAACUCGGCUCGUCAACAUCUAGAAUGGAGCUUGAGUUCAAUUCCAGCUCACCCGAGUCAAACUUUGACCAAGUUUUGACUGAGUCGAUCUCGAGUAGCUCGCGAGUUUUCUCGUCUCAUUUACACCCUUAAAUUAGUGGGGUCGGGUUGGAUUUUUUGGUUAGGUACAUUUUUAGGUUAUUUAAGGGGCAGGUCGUGAUUCUGAGGCUUUAAAGUGCGUGUUGGCGCAAUUUAUGACUUUGAUAUAACUAAUUCUCCUUUUAGUGGACGGGUUUUUGUGAUUCAAUGAGUGUCAAUAUAAUUUCCAAAUUUAGGUGCAUUUCAUAAAUUGCUUUUUCACGGGCUUUUCAUAUUUCAAUCCAGGCUGUAUUUUAGUAGUGAUGUUCUAAUCGAUUUAUAGAUCUAACUCAGUUUUUGCUAGGUCGACUCCAUCUUAUAUGGUUUCCCUACUUACUGAAUAUUCUUCAUUGUCCUGUCUGUUACACUAGAUUUCAAUAUAUUAUUAUAUGUUAAUCAUUUACAACUUUUAUCAUACAAUUGCGUGUACCAUGAAUAUGGUACACUCUAUGCUAAUAUUUUUUUUUUCUCAUUGCUCAUUAUUUGAAACCUCCAAAUAUGCAAAAAUUUUGCUCAUAUAGGGAAAGCUUCAAAUGUGCAAAUGAGAAAAAUAUAGUCUUGAGGGGUAUUAUACCAUUCACAUGGUAUAUUCGGGUGUACAAUAAAUGUUUCUUAAAUACCUCAUAAGAUUUUCAAUCAACAUAAUAAUUUAGUUAAUUAAUUAUCAUACUAGAAUGAUUACUUGAGGGGUGUUCUCCGCAUUCAUGAAAAUUUUCUCCUAUAUUUAAUUUCUUAUGUAUAGGCUACAAGACUAACUAAUAAAAUUAUUUUUAAUGUUAAAUAUGGAUCUUAUCUCAAAGUGUAAUUCAAUUUUGUUUUAUGGGAUGGAAAAUAUAAUGACCAUGUAUCCCCUACAUGGAAAGCAUUAAGUCAGAUCUAAUCAUAGGCGAAACAUCUUAUAUCUUUUAGCAUAUAGAUAGAUUAUUGAAACUUAAUGCUUUGUUUUUGGCCAAGAUAUAAGAUGUCAUGAAUAAUGCAGAUUUAGGAAGCGUUCUCUUCACCUUAAACAAAUGUUUACGAUUAAAUGUAAUUAUGUUUAAUCAAGUGUAAAUAUAUAAGGUAAAAUCGAGAUUAAAUUUAAUUUAGUCAGAUCUAAUAAAUUCGGUUCAGUAAACGGUAGGUGAAGAGGUCGCAUCCUAAAAGACAGAAGGUCAAUAAAACGAAUUGAAGACUAUGAAAACUGUGUUCUUUGAUAGAUCUUCAAUGGCUCUACAUGCAAUUACCUGCACCGAAGAAUUUCAUAACUUACUUGUACGAUGACAUUUCCUCCUGAAACCAAUCAGUAGUAGGAACUAGGAAGAGAAGCACAUCAAAGUUUCAACUACGAUUCUUACAAUGUUUUAUGUGGUAUCUUAUUAGAAUCUUUUCAAUGUAUCAACUUUUCAUAGCUUUUACUAAUAAAUAAUUAAAUUAUUGAUGAUUAUAGUGUGGAUUAAAUAAAAGGAAAAAUUAACCAUGAAGAACAAAAGGGAAUGAAAUUAAGGAGAAAGUUUAAUCUUAGGGUAAGUUAGUGUCACAAUAUCACUCAAAGUUGCUGAAUAGAGAUGAUACUUGCUAACUCUCUAUAAAAUAAAAAAAUUAUAAACAAUCUCAAUUUACAUAAACAAUUUUAAUUUCAAAAUAUACCACGGAGAAAACAACAUAUUGUAAAACAUCUCUCCAUGUAGGAAAAGCUUGAAUGCUUGAUGUAGUAGCAAUAACCAAAAAAAUUGUUGUCUAACAUAAGAAAGCUACUUCCUUCGUUUCGAUGUAAAUGAAACGAGUAAAAAAACAUAUCUUCAAUGACCAUAUGUGUUCUUAUUAGGUAUAUAGUUGUGAUUAGACACCUUUGAUUAGGCGUUGAUAUGUUACCGAAGUAUUAUGUUAUUACAAAAUGUUGAUUCUAGCUAGUCAUAGUAGGCAUUCUUGUUAUAUACAAGGAUCUAAUAAGACUAUGAUAACAAUGAGUUAAAGUAGUAUAACAUAUAACAUCAAUAACAUAAUACUGCCUAAGCCUAUUGAAACACCCACGUUUAAUAUAUCUCGAUUUGAAGGGAUGAAUAUGAAAUAUAUUCCAGCUUAGUUUCUAACAAACUCUAGCCGUAAUAAUAAGUUAGUUACAUCUGUAACUAAAUCUCCUUAGCUAUUAGCCGAUUCUUCUUGUAAACUGAGAAACAUUAUUACAUUUUAUCACAUUAGAUUUCUCUCUUUAUAUUUCCUCUUUCUUAAAUAUUUACAUGGUAUCAGAGUAGUGUUUGCUCAUUAUACCUAGAAUUUCAAUUUUUUUCACAUUUUUUCAGAGUUAUAUAUGUAUAUGUGAUUGAAUUCUUUUGAUAAAAUCAAUUGAUUAAUUGUUCUGCAAUUUAUAUUAUGGAAAUAUGAGAGAAGAAAUUCCAAAUGUUGAGAUUCUGAAUUCGGGAAAUAAUCGUCACCCGUGUAAUAAGUUCAGCUUAUAAUAAUCCUUUUUUUGUUCUAGUUCAGAUCAACUGUCUGUAGGAGAACUUGUUGUUGUGGAUUUGAAUGGUAACAAUUUUCUUAGUUGGAAACGAAACGUAAAACGUGCGUUAGUUGCGAAGACAAGUUAGGUUUUAUGGAGCGAACACUUAAGAAACCUGUUCAAUCUGAUGAAGAUUAUAAUCGAUGGAUGACAUGCGAUUAUAUAAUAAUAUGUUUGUUAGUGAAUUCCAUGAAUGAAGAUAUUGGAUAGAAUUUCACGUUUGUUGAGAAAAUUGAGCAAUUAUGGAACGAAAUAUGUGAAAGAUUUGGUAAAUCCAAUGGACCUUAAAUCUAUCAAUUGAAGAGAGAAUUAGAUGGUUUGAGGGAAGAAAUAUGUCAAUUAUUAUGGUAAGAUGAAGAGGUUUUGGGAUGAGUUGAAGAAUUUGCGAAGUCUUCCUAGCUAUAAUUGUGGAUUAUUGUCGAAAUGUAGCUAUGAAUUUCUUAGAGAAAAAGAAUCUUUGAUUUUAAAUCUGAAGAAAGAUUGAUGCACUUCCUCUUAGGCUUAGCUUGAAUAGUGGAUUUGAAACUGCUAUAAGCAGUAUGUAUUGAGAUAUCUUAAAAGCACACUUGUAUUGGGUAUGUUCUAUUCCAUCAACACUAAUUUACAGUUAUCAGCCUACAGUGAUGCUGAUUAUUGGAAUGCUGAUUAUUGAAGUACUUGCUUGUUUAGCAGUAGAUCUUUGAGUGCAUACUAUGUAUGUUUGGGUUCACACCUAGUUUUUUUUGGAAAACUAAAUAGCAUAAGACUGUAACCAAGUCUUCGACAAAAACAGAGUACAAAAGUAUGUCUAGUACUGCUUCUGAGGUUGUCUGGUUGGAAGGUACUCUUCAAGAUCUAAAAAGUUCAUGUGGAUCUACCUAUUUAUUUAUAUUGUGAUAACACUAUUGCUGAAUAUUUUGCAAGUAAUCCAGUAUUUCACAAGAGAACGGAACACCUGAAGCGUGAUUGUUAACUAAGCCACUCUAUGGUCCUCAACAUCAGCUUCUUGUAUCCAAGCUUGGCCUUGUGGAGUCUUCACAUGUACAACUUGAAGGGGGAAUAUGAAAUAUAUUCCAGCUUAGUUCACUGUUUUCAAUAAAUAAUACCAAAGUCUAGGUGAUUCUUUUUGGUUGUUUGUUAGCUACUAUAUAUAAGUGGAUAAGUUGAUUCUUCUUGUAUGCUGAGAAACAUUAUUACAUUUUAUCACAUUAGAUUUCUCUAUAUAUAUAUAUUUCCUCUCUA